CAGAUAAGAUGAAAAGAAGAAAAAUGAUCAUGUAUAAUCUCACUACUAAUAUUUUGGAAUAAUUUACCCUUUUAAGUAGCCUGCAUGUGUGUGUGAGUGUGUGUGUGUGUGUGUGUUUGCAAAUACAGAUGAAUGUCUCA
rnacentral:sRNA from 1 species